rnacentral:rRNA from 1 species
AACUUUCAACAACGGAUCUCUUGGUUCUGGCAUCGAUGAAGAACGCAGCGAAAUGCGAUAAGUAAUGUGAAUUGCAGAAUUCAGUGAAUCAUCGAAUCUUUGAACGCACAUUGCGCCCCUUGGUAUUCCGAGGGGCAUGCCUGUUCGAGCG